rnacentral:tRNA from 1 species
GGACUCGUAGCUCAGGGGUUAGAGCGUUCGGUUCACAUCCGAAAGGUCAGUGGUUCGAGACCACUCGAGUCCA